rnacentral:misc_RNA from 1 species
GCCAUCCAAAUUUUGUCCCAAAGUGGAUUUUGCCAGGGAAGUACGAAGGAUAUGAUGCAAGGCAGCAGGAAGACGGUCUUCCUCAGGAAGUGAUGAGCCCUGUAAGAUAAACCUCUUCUGCGANNNNNNNNNNNUUGUACUCUGCAUAUUUUUGAUGAAUCAGUUCUUUCUCAAGAAUUCUCUGCAAGGAUUCACAUUUGCACACUUUGCAGAUUCUUACAAGAUCUUCCAUGUC